AACGCGAAGAACCUUACCUAGGCUUGAACUCCUACGAACCUCUUGUAAUGGAGAGGGUGUCCGCAAGGAAAUGUAGUGAGAGGUGCUGCAUGGCUGUCGUCAGCUCGUGUUGUGAAAUGUUGGGUUAAGUCUCGCAACGAGCGCAACCCCUAUCGUCUGUUGCCAGCAUUAAGUUGGGCACUCUGACGAGACUGCCUGGGUUAACCAGGAGGAAGGUGGGGAUGACGUCAAGUCCUCAUGGCCCUUAUGUCUAGGGCUACACACGUAAUACAAUGGCGCGUACAGAGGGAAGCGAACUCGCAAGGGGGAGCAAAUCUCAAAAAGCGCGCCUCAGUUCGGAUUGGAGUCUGCAACUCGACUCCAUGAAGGCGGAAUCGCUAGUAAUCGCGGAUCAGCACGCCGCGGUGAAUACGUUCCCGGGUCUUGUACACACCGCCU
rnacentral:rRNA from 1 species